GAUGAACGCUGGCGGCGUGCCUAAUACAUGCAAGUCGAGCGAACGGACGAGAAGCUUGCGUCUCUGAUGUUAGCGGCGGACGGGAGAGUAACACGUGUAUAACCUACUUAUAAGACUGGGAUAACUUCGGGAAACCGGAGCUAAUAACGGAGAAUAUUAUGCACCGCAUGGUUCAAAAGUGAAAGACGGUCUUGCUGGCACUUAUAGAUGCAUACCGGCUGCAUUAGCUAGUUGGUAAGGUAACGGCCUACCAAGGCAACGAUGCAUAGCCGAACGUGUGGGGUGAUCGGCGACCCUGGAAGUUAGACAGGGACAAGGGUCCUACGAGAGGCAGCAGUAGCGAAUCGUACGCAAUGGUCGAAAGCAUGACGGAGCAAGGCCACGUGAGUGAUAAAGGCCUCCGGAUCGUAAAGCUCUGUUAUUAGGUAAGAACAGAUUUGUACGGAGCCGUGGAGAUCUUGACGGUACCUGAUAAGAAAGCCACGGCUAACUACGUG
rnacentral:rRNA from 1 species